rnacentral:rRNA from 1 species
UACGUAGGUGGAUAUUUAAGUUGGAUGUGAAAGCCCCGGGCUCAACCUGGGACGGUCAUUCAAAACUGAAUGUCUAGAGUACAGUAGAGGAAAGUGGAAUUUCAGGUGUAGCGGUGAAAUGCGUAGAUAUCUGAAGGAACAUCAGUGGCGAAGGCGACUUUCUGGGCUGAUACUGACACUGAGGUACGAAAGCGUGGGGAGCGAACAGGAUUAGAUACCCUGGUAGUCC